UGUAAAAUAUUUGGGGGAGUGUCAUAGACAACUCCUAGCAGUUGAAGGAUGCACAGCUUCUUCGUGGUCCAUGGCAGUUGCUCUCUGAAGAGCUUCUCUUGAGAGGGAGCCUCUCAAAGAAAAGGACCAGCAAAGUGGAAGCAGCCAAGCAAACAACUUCUAAAUCGACGGGCCUGUGCAGAACCCCUUUGGUCUAAAUGAAAUCUGUAUUUUGUGAUACACUGCUGCAUCCAAUCCUUUCCAAAAAAUCUUCCAAAAUCAAUUCUCAGUUAAUGUACAAAUCUCUCGGGAGAACUUCCAAACAGGAGGAUCAGCUGGAGGU